rnacentral:tRNA from 1 species
CAGGGAGACAACACAAUGAUUUUGAUGCCUGAGUACUUUUAUUCUUAGGCCGAAAUCCUGUCACCUUAGGUCGAUCGGUACCUCAGCUUUGAAGUUAAGAGUCAGCAGCAAUGUUGAUUGCUUGAUGGAGAUUUUCAGUUCCUAAACUUUGUCUAGGUCACACCCCAAAAGGGAUGAGACUCCUGGGCCAUUAGCUCAGGUGGUUAGAGCGCACCCCUGAUAAGGGUGAGGUCCCUGGUUCAAGUCCAGGAUGGCCCAUUCGGUGUUGGGGGUUUAGCUCAGUUGGUAGAGCGCCUGCUUUGCAAGCAGGAUGUCAGGAGUUCGAGUCUCCUAACCUCCACUGACCGAACUUUAUCCCCGCUCCAUGCAAUGGAGUUGAGCUCGAUUGGAGUGUGAUUUAGAUGUGUCCGCUGGAUGACCCCAGCUUCCUGUCAUUCCAAGUUUUAGGUUAAAAGCCUUGAAUUUGGUUGAUAAGAUGCUGGGCUCGGAUCAAAUGAUCAAGCAAUUGAUGAUUUGAUUUGAAGUUCUAGCAGAACCUUGACAACUGCAUAGGUGAAGUCUGGAAAAACAAAGCAUCUUACAGAUGCAUUGUUUUGAGUCUGAUCUUCUGAAAGGAAGAUUAGAACCAGAACAAUGAAAAUUCUUUUGAGCAAGAGCCGAGACUCUUGAGCGUUCUUUGAUUCGUGUCGAGCGAAUCAGAGUUUGAUCUUGUUUUUAGCAAUAAAAACUUGAGAAUCUGCUUUCAACGGCGGUAAGCGUUCAGGAGGUUAAUU